GAUGAACGCUGGCGGCGUGCCUAAUACAUGCAAGUCGAGCGAACAGACGAGGAGCUUGCUCCUCUGACGUUAGCGGCGGACGGGUGAGUAACACGUGGAUAACCUACCUAUAAGACUGGGAUAACUUCGGGAAACCGGAGCUAAUACCGGAUAAUAUAUUGAACCGCAUGGUUCAAUAGUGAAAGACGGUUUUGCUGUCACUUAUAGAUGGAUCCGCGCCGCAUUAGCUAGUUGGUAAGGUAACGGCUUACCAAGGCAACGAUGCGUAGCCGACCUGAGAGGGGGGUCGGCCACACUGGAACUGAGACACGGUCCAGACUCCUACGGGAGGCAGCAGUAGGGAAUCUUCCGCAAUGGGCGAAAGCUUGACGGAGCAACGCCGCGUGAGUGAUGAAGGUCUUCGGAUCGUAAAACUCUGUUAUUAGGGAAGAACAAAUGUGUAAGUAACUAUGCACGUCUUGACGGUACCUAAUCAGAAAGCCACGGCUAACUACGUG
rnacentral:rRNA from 1 species